CCUACGGGAGGCUGCAGUAGGGAAUCUUCCACAAUGGGCGAAAGCCUGAUGGAGCAACGCCGCGUGGGUGAAGAAGGUCUUCGGAUCGUAAAACCCUGUUGUUAGAGAAGAAAGUGCGUGAGAGUAACUGUUCACGUUUCGACGUUAUCUAACCAGAAAGCCACGGCUAACUACGUGACAGCAGCCGCGGUAAUACGUAGGUGUCAAGCUUUAUCCGGAUUUAUUGGGGGGAAAGGUAACGCAGGUGGGCUUUUAAGUCUGAUGUGAAAUCCUUCGGCUUAACCGGAGUAGUGCAUUGGAAUCUGGGAGACUUGAGUGCAGAAGAGGAGAGUGGAACUACAUGUGUAGCGGUGAAAUGAGUAGAUAUAUGGAAGAACACCAGUGGCGAAAGCGGCUCUCUGGUCUGUAACUGACGCUGAGGUUCGAAAGCGUGGGUAGCAAACAGGAUUAGAUACCCCAGUAGUC
rnacentral:rRNA from 1 species